rnacentral:snRNA from 1 species
GUGCUUUCUUGGGCAGCACAUACACUGAAAUUGAAAUGAGACAGAGAAGAUUAGCAUGGUUCCUGUGAAAGGAUAACAUACAAAUUUGUGAAGCAUUCUAUAUAUAU